rnacentral:rRNA from 1 species
GACGAACCGAGCGAACGUUAUUCGGAAUCACUGGGCUUAAAGGGCGCGUAGGCGGGCCAUCAAGUCGAGGGUGAAAGCCCCUAGCUCAACUGGGGAAGUGCCUCCGAUACUGGUGGUCUCGAGGGAGAUAGGGGCGUGCGGAACUUCCGGUGGAGCGGUGAAAUGCGUAGAUAUCGGAAGGAACACCGGUGGCGAAAGCGGCGCGCUGGAUCUCUUCUGACGCUGAGGCGCGAAAGCUAGGGGAGCAAACGGGGAUUAAGAA